rnacentral:rRNA from 1 species
GUUAGUGGCGGACGGGUGAGUAACGCGUGAGAAUCUGCCCUCAGGAGGGGGAUAACGGUUGGAAACGACCGCUAAUACCCCAUAUGCCUAUUGGUGAAAUGAAUUUCGCCUGAGGAUGAGCUCGCGUCUGAUUAGCUAGUUGGUGAGGUAAUGGCUCACCAAGGCUUCGAUCAGUAGCUGGUCUGAGAGGAUGAUCAGCCACACUGGGACUGAGACACGGCCCAGACUCCUACGGGAGGCAGCAGUGGGGAAUUUUCCGCAAUGGGCGAAAGCCUGACGGAGCAACGCCGCGUGAGGGACGAAGGCCUCUGGGCUGUAAACCUCUUUUCUCAAGGAAGAAGAUAUGACGGUACUUGAGGAAUAAGCCACGGCUAAUUCCGUGCCAGCAGCCGCGGUAAUACGGGAGUGGCAAGCGUUAUCCGGAAUUAUUGGGCGUAAAGCGUCCGCAGGCGGCUUUUCAAGUCUGCUGUUAAAGCGUGGAGCUUAACUCCAUCAUGGCAGUGGAAACUGAAAGGCUUGAGUAUGGUAGGGGCAGAGGGAAUUCCCGGUGUAGCGGUGAAAUGCGUAGAUAUCGGGAAGAACACCAGUGGCGAAGGCGCUCUGCUGGGCCAUUACUGACGCUCAUGGACGAAAGCCAGGGGAGCGAAAGGGAUUAGAUACCCCUGUAGUCCUGGCCGUAAACGAUGAACACUAGGUGUCGGGGGAAUCGACCCCUUCGGUGUCGUAGCUAACGCGUUAAGUGUUCCGCCUGGGGAGUACGCACGCAAGUGUGAAACUCAAAGGAAUUGACGGGGGCCCGCACAAGCGGUGGAGUAUGUGGUUUAAUUCGAUGCAACGCGAAGAACCUUACCAGGGUUUGACAUCCUGCGAACCUCUUAGAAAUUUGAGGGUGCCUUCGGGAAUGCAGUGACAGGUGGUGCAUGGCUGUCGUCAGCUCGUGUCGUGAGAUGUUGGGUUAAGUCCCGCAACGAGCGCAACCCACGUUUUUAGUUGCCAGCAUUUAGUUGGGCACUCUAGAAAGACCGCCGGUGAUAAACCGGAGGAAGGUGUGGAUGACGUCAAGUCAUCAUGCCCCUUACACCCUGGGCUACACACGUACUACAAUGCUACGGACAAAGGGCAGCAAACUCGCGAGAGCUAGCAAAUCCCAUAAACCGUGGCUCAGUUCAGAUCGUAGGCUGCAACUCGCCUACGUGAAGUAGGAAUCGCUAGUAAUCGCAGGUCAGCAUACUGCGGUGAAUACGUUCCCGGGCCUUGUACACACCGCCCGUCACACCAUGGAAGUUGGCCAUGCCCGAAGUCGUUACUCCAACCCUUGUGGAGGAGGACGCCGAAGGUGGGGCUAAUGACUGGGGUGAAGUCAUAACAAGGUAACCGUA